UACGUAGGGGGCAAGCGUUGUCCGGAAUUAUUGGGCGUAAAGAGCGUGUAGGCGGUCCGGUAAGUCAGCUGUGAAAGUCAAGGGCUCAACCCUUGAAAGCCGGUUGAUACUGUCGGGCUAGAGUCCGGAAGAGGCGAGUGGAAUUCCCGGUGUAGCGGUGAAAUGCGCAGAUAUCAGGAGGAAUACCGGUGGCGAAAGCGACUCUCUGGACGGUUACUGACGCUGAGGCACGAAAGCGUGGGGAGCAAACAGG
rnacentral:rRNA from 1 species